rnacentral:rRNA from 1 species
GGGUUGUGAGGUUAAGCGACUAAGCGUACACGGUGGAUGCCCUGGCAGUCAGAGGCGAUGAAGGACGUGCUAAUCUGCGAUAAGCGCCGGUAAGGUGAUAUGAACCGUUAUAACCGGCGAUUUCCGAAUGGGGAAACCCAGUGUGAUUCGUCACACUAUCAUUAACUGAAUCCAUAGGUUAAUGAGGCGAACCGGGGGAACUGAAACAUCUAAGUACCCCGAGGAAAAGAAAUCAACCGAGAUUCCCCCAGUAGCGGCGAGCGAACGGGGAGGAGCCCAGAGCCUGAAUCAGCAUGUGUGUUAGUGGAAGCGUCUGGAAAGGCGCGCGAUACAGGGUGACAGCCCCGUACACAAAAGCGCAUGUGCUGUGAGCUCGAUGAGUAGGGCGGGACACGUGGUAUCCUGUCUGAAUAUGGGGGGACCAUCCUCCAAGGCUAAAUACUCCUGACUGACCGAUAGUGAACCAGUACCGUGAGGGAAAGGCGAAAAGAACCCCGGCGAGGGGAGUGAAAAAGAACCUGAAACCGUGUACGUACAAGCAGUGGGAGCACCCUUCGGGGUGUGACUGCGUACCUUUUGUAUAAUGGGUCAGCGACUUAUAUUCUGUAGCAAGGUUAACCGUAUAGGGGAGCCGGAGGGAAACCGAGUCUUAAUUGGGCGUUAAGUUGCAGGGUAUAGACCCGAAACCCGGUGAUCUAGCCAUGGGCAGGUUGAAGGUUGGGUAACACUAACUGGAGGACCGAACCGACUAAUGUUGAAAAAUUAGCGGAUGACCUGUGGCUGGGGGUGAAAGGCCAAUCAAACCGGGAGAUAGCUGGUUCUCCCCGAAAGCUAUUUAGGUAGCGCCUCGUGAAUUCAUCUCCGGGGGUAGAGCACUGUUUCGGCUAGGGGGCCAUCCCGGCUUACCAACCCGAUGCAAACUGCGAAUACCGGAGAAUGUUAUCACGGGAGACACACGGCGGGUGCUAACGUCCGUCGUGAAGAGGGAAACAACCCAGACCGCCAGCUAAGGUCCCAAAGUCAUGGUUAAGUGGGAAACGAUGUGGGAAGGCCCAGACAGCCAGGAUGUUGGCUUAGAAGCAGCCAUCAUUUAAAGAAAGCGUAAUAGCUCACUGGUCGAGUCGGCCUGCGCGGAAGAUGUAACGGGGCUAAACCAUGCACCGAAGCUGCGGCAGCGAACGUAUCACCCAAGACAACUUUACGGAGUUGACGAUUGACGGAGCGAAGCGACGUCAAAGCGUUCAUUAAAGUCGAGUUGGCUUAGGGAUACGUUCGUUGGGUAGGGGAGCGUUCUGUAAGCCUGUGAAGGUGUGUCGUGAGGCAUGCUGGAGGUAUCAGAAGUGCGAAUGCUGACAUAAGUAACGAUAAAGCGGGUGAAAAGCCCGCUCGCCGGAAGACCAAGGGUUCCUGUCCAACGUUAAUCGGGGCAGGGUGAGUCGACCCCUAAGGCGAGGCCGAAAGGCGUAGUCGAUGGGAAACGGGUUAAUAUUCCCGUACUUGGUGUUACUGCGAAGGGGGGACGGAGAAGGCUAUGUUGGCCGGGCGACGGUUGUCCCGGUUUAAGCGUGUAGGUGUGUGUUCCAGGUAAAUCCGGUUCACUUUAACACUGAGGCGUGACGACGAGGCACUACGGUGCUGAAGCAACAAAUGCCCUGCUUCCAGGAAAAGCCUCUAAGCAUCAGGUAACAUCAAAUCGUACCCCAAACCGACACAGGUGGUCAGGUAGAGAAUACCAAGGCGCUUGAGAGAACUCGGGUGAAGGAACUAGGCAAAAUGGUGCCGUAACUUCGGGAGAAGGCACGCUGACACGUAGGUGAAGUGAUUUACUCAUGGAGCUGAAGUCAGUCGAAGAUACCAGCUGGCUGCAACUGUUUAUUAAAAACACAGCACUGUGCAAACACGAAAGUGGACGUAUACGGUGUGACGCCUGCCCGGUGCCGGAAGGUUAAUUGAUGGGGUCAGCGCAAGCGAAGCUCCUGAUCGAAGCCCCGGUAAACGGCGGCCGUAACUAUAACGGUCCUAAGGUAGCGAAAUUCCUUGUCGGGUAAGUUCCGACCUGCACGAAUGGCGUAAUGAUGGCCAGGCUGUCUCCACCCGAGACUCAGUGAAAUUGAACUCGCUGUGAAGAUGCAGUGUACCCGCGGCAAGACGGAAAGACCCCGUGAACCUUUACUAUAGCUUGACACUGAACAUUGAGCCUUGAUGUGUAGGAUAGGUGGGAGGCUUUGAAGUGUGGACGCCAGUCUGCAUGGAGCCGACCUUGAAAUACCACCCUUUA